rnacentral:rRNA from 1 species
GAUGAACGCUGGCGGCGUGCCUAAUACAUGCAAGUCGAGCGAAUGGAUUAAGAGCUUGCUCUUAUGAAGUUAGCGGCGGACGGGUGAGUAACACGUGGGUAACCUGCCCAUAAGACUGGGAUAACUCCGGGAAACCGGGGCUAAUACCGGAUAACAUUUUGAACCGCAUGGUUCGAAAUUGAAAGGAGGCUUCGGCCGUCACUUAUGGAUGGACUAGCGUCGCAUUAGCUAGUUGGGGAGGUAACGGCUCACCAAGGCACCGAUGCGUAGCCGACCUGAGAGGGUGAUCGGGCACACUGGGACUGAGACACGGCCCAGACUCCUACGGGAGGCAGCAGUAGGGAAUCUUCCGCAAUGGACGAAAGUCUGACGGAGCAACGCCGCGUGAGUGAUGAAGGCUUUCGGGUCGUAAAACUCUGUUGUUAGGGAAGAACAAGUGCUAGUUGAAUAAGCUGGCACCUUGACGGUACCUAACCAGAAAGCCACGGCUAACUACGUGCCAGCCGCCGCGGUAA